rnacentral:rRNA from 1 species
AUGGCAACCAAUAGUCGUAAGAGUGUGAUUAUGGUAGUAGUCAUACUAGUUCUAGUGAUACAGCAGGCCCAGGUAGAAGCUAAGAGCUGUUGUUGUUCCACCUCGGGAAGAAACUGCUAUAACGCAUGCCGUGUCAUGGGUGCCUCUCGCAAAACAUGUGCAAGCUUGUGUGGUUGCAAAAUUCUUGACAAGUGUGUGCGUCCUUGUGAUCGCUUCAAUCUUUACCCGGAAGCAGACGAAGCAAAAGUCAUUGAGUAUUGCAAGUUGGGAUGCAUGUCCUCCGUCUGCAACACCACAAACACUUUCAUCGUAGGUGAACAAGAGAAAGAUGUCAUAGAGAAUUGCACAACUGGAUGCGAUCGUGUCUGUACCAAGGAUGUUGAAUUUGCCGCAGCUAUUGCAUAA